GCGCGAAACCUUUACAAUGCACGAAAGUGUGAUAAGGGAAUCCCCAGUGCUCACGUACUGCGUGGGCUUUUGCCAAGUGUAAAUAGCUUGGCGAAUAAGUGGUGGGUAAGACUGGUGCCAGCCGCCGCGGUAACACCAGCGCCACGAGUGGUAACCGCGAUUAUUGGGCCUAAAGCGUCCGUAGCAGGUUUGACAAAUCUUUUGUGAAAUUGUGCGGCUUAACCGUACAACGUGCAAGAGACACUAUCAAACUCGAGAUCGGGAGGAGUCAGAAGUAUUCCAGGGGGAGCGGUAAAAUGUUAUAAUCCCUGGAGGACUACCUAUGGCGAAGGCAUCUGACCAGAACGAAUCUGACUGUGAGGGACGAAAGCCAGGGGAGCGAACCGGAUUGGAUACCCGAGUAGUCCUGGCCGUAAACGCUGUGAGCUAGGUGUUGCGUCAGCGACCUGCUGGCGCAGUGUCGAAACGAAGGUGUUAAGCUCACCGCCUGGGAAGUACGGUCGCAAGACUGAAACUUUAAGGAAUUGG
rnacentral:rRNA from 1 species